AAAUUGAAAGGAUUUAGAAAACGUCUUAAAAAAGAAAGAAAAGAAAGGUUCACCCAGGUCGAGGCCCAGCCAUUGCACUCGGCUAGCUGACACCUGCGAAUUCCCAAAUGUGGGAAUCUCGACUGCAUAAUUUCUGAUAGUGGGGGACUGCGUUCGCGCUCUCCCUGA